AUUGAACGCUGGCGGCACGCCUAACACAUGCAAGUCGAGCGGCAGCAUGCUUAGUAGCAAUACUAAGUGAUGGCGAGCGGCGGACGGGUGAGGAACACGUAGGAACCCGCCCAAAAGUGGGGGAUAACUAAGGGAAACUUUAGCUAAUACCGCAUAAUUCUCUGAGGAGAAAAGUUGCCCGUAAGGGUAGCGCUUUUGGAGGGGCCUGCGUCCGAUUAGUUAGUUGGUGAGGUAAUGGCUCACCAAGACGAUGAUCGGUAACUGGUCUGAGAGGACGACCAGUCACACUGGGACUGAGACACGGCCCAGACUCCUACGGGAGGCAGCAGUGGGGAAUCUUGGACAAUGGGGGCAACCCUGAUCCAGCGAUGCCGCGUGGGUGAAGAAGGCCUUCGGGUUGUAAAGCCCUUUAGGCUGGGAAGAAGAGUGCGGGGUGAAUAAUCCUGUACUUUGACGGUACCAGCAGAAUAAGCACCGGCAAACUCUGUGCCAGCAGCCGCCGUAA
rnacentral:rRNA from 1 species